GUACACGCUGUGACUAGCAUAUCAAUAAGCGGAGGAAAAGAAACUAACAAGGAUUCCCCUAGUAACGGCGAGUGAAGCGGGAAGAGCUCAAAUUUGAAAUCUUAAAGGGUUUCCCUUUACGAAUUGUAGUUUAAAGAAGUGUUUUCUGUUGAGGUUUUGGUAAAAGUUCUUUGGAAUAGGACAUCAUAGAGGGUGAGAAUCCCGUAUUUGACCUUUACUUUCAACCUUGUGAUACACUUUCAAAGAGUCGGAUUGUUUGGGAAUGCAGUCCAAAAUGGGUGGUAAAUUUCAUCUAAAGCUAAAUAUUGGCGAGAGACCGAUAGCGUACAAGUACCGUGAGGGAAAGAUGAAAAGAACUUUGAAAAGAGAGUUAAACAGUACGUGAAAUUGUCAAAAGGGAAGCGUUUGACACCAGUGUUGUUUUUCUGAAAAUCAAUUAAAGAACUGUUUAUGCUAAGCUGUUUAGACUUUAUCAGCUAAUCUGUUUAGUUUUGAGCUUUUCUUUAAUGCACUUUUCAGUUAACAAGUCAGCAUCAAUUUCCUUUUGCUGUAAAAAAGCUUGAGGAAGGUGGCUUGAGAUUCGUCUUAAGUGUUUAUAGCCUCUUGCCUAUGCAGUCGGAGAGAUUGAGGUCUGCAGCGUAGAUCCUUCGGGGCUAAAUGCAUUUGUGCUAAGUUAUAGCAUUUUAUAGACGACUUGUUGACUAUGAUUUGUCUUGUAGCUUACUCGCUUAUGUUAUUUUACCUACGCUUAGGAUGUUGAAGAUGUAGCACAUCAU
rnacentral:rRNA from 1 species